rnacentral:rRNA from 1 species
GGGCCCGCACAAGCGGUGGAGCAUGUGGUUUAAUUCGAUGCAACGCGAAGAACCUUACCAUCCCUUGACAUCCAGAGAAUUUUCUAGAGAUAGAAUUGUGCCUUCGGGAACUCUGAGACAGGUGCUGCAUGGCUGUCGUCAGCUCGUGUUGUGAAAUGUUGGGUUAAGUCCCGCAACGAGCGCAACCCUUAUCCUUGUUUGCCAGCGAGUAAUGUCGGGAACUCCAGGGAGACUGCCGGUGAUAAACCGGAGGAAGGUGGGGACGACGUCAAGUCAUCAUGGCCCUUACGAGUAGGGCUACACACGUGCUACAAUGGCGCAUACAGAGGGCGGCCAACUUGCGAGAGUGAGCGAAUCCCAAAAAGUGCGUCGUAGUCCGGAUCGGAGUCUGCAACUCGACUCCGUGAAGUCGGAAUCGCUAGUAAUCG